CUACGGGAGGCACCAGUAAGGAAUAUUGCGCAAUGGAGGCAACUCUGACGCAGCCAUGCCGCGUGCAGGAAGAAGGCCUUAUGGGUCGUAAACUGCUUUUAUUUAGGAAUAAACCCCCGAACGUGUUCGGGGCUGAAGGUACUAAACGAAUAAGCACCGGCUAACUCCGUGCCAGCAGCCGCGGUAAUACGGAGGGUGCAAGCGUUAUCAGGAUUUAUUGGGUUUAAAGGGUGCGCAGGCGGGCUAUUAAGUCAGUGGUGAAAUCCCGGGGCUCAACUCCGGAACUGCCAUUGAUACUGAUAGUCUUGAGUUUGGUUGAAGUGGGCGGAAUGUAGCAUGUAGCGGUGACAUGCAUAGAUAUGCUACAGAACACCAAUCGCGAAGGCAGCUCACUAAGCCAAAACUGACGCUCAUGCACGAAAGCGUGGGGAUCAAACAGGAUUAGAUACCCCCGUAGUC
rnacentral:rRNA from 1 species